CGAGAUUGAUGUGGAGACAUCGUAGCGCAGUGCCGAAUGAGGAACCAAGUAAUCGCCAUGAUGGGCGAGUUUGGACGAUCAGUUGAUUUCUGUUACUUUUGGGAAGUUGGCUACCUUGGUGGUGGAUUUGGAACCGUCCGUGCCCAGCAAGGUUGGACGGAUGGAUGGACGUUGUGAAUGGCAGUGGGAUGGAAAUUACACUGUACUUAAACUGGAUUGGAUUACGCUUAGUUAUGCCAUCUCGAGAAGAGACUUGAUUCAGGAUCUGAAGGAUCAUUGUUGGAAUAUGAGCCGAUUAGCGGAUGUUGCAUCACCUCUCCUCGGUGAGCGUUGAUCUGAUGAGCACUCCGAUGGUGUUUGGAUAGAUGAGUAAGGGAUUUAACCCCCAUAUGCUUACUUUGGACAGUGCCUUUGAAUCCACCUUAAGGGGUGUUUGGAUGUAAUCCUAUAUACUAGAGUAAUUGAUGCAAAGCAAGGCUUUACCCCCGACUUGGGCGAGAUAGGUGAGAAUUGGAAUUCAGCUUUCGGAAACACUUGAUUUCCUGAGAACCGAUUGAAGGACUUGAAAUCAAGCGUGGCUUUGAGAUGGACCUUUCCGGUGAGGAUUGGAGUUUGUAGAGCCUUGCGGAUGUUUGGCUUGUGUUAUGCCAAACCCAUGGCGUAGCGAAUACUUGUUGUGUCUGUGCCUUGGAGUCUCCGGCACACUUGAGACCUUUAGGGUCUGUUUUGGGCGCUGUUGAAGCGCUUCUUCUAUCCUCUUUGGAUGGGUUUGAUUGUGUGGUUGACCGCAGUUUCGCGGACGAAACUCCUUUUUAGGAGGGGAGAAUGUAACACACUGGACUUUCGCAAAUAGCAAGGUUC
rnacentral:lncRNA from 1 species